rnacentral:rRNA from 1 species
UCUCAAAGAUUAAGCCAUGCAUGUCUAAGUAUAAACAACUUUAUACUGUAAAACUGCGAACGGCUCAUUAUAUCAGCAAUAAUUUAUUUGAUGAUUUCUUACUACAUGGAUAACUGUAGUAAUUCUAGAGCUAAUACAUGCGCAAAGUCCUAACUCGCGAGGGGAGGGAUGUAUUUAUUAGAUACAAAACCAAUGCGGGUUCUGCUCGCCAUUGUGUUGAAUCAUAGUAACUUAUCGAACGCCAUAGCCUUGUGCUGGGCGUAGAUCAUUCAAAUUUCUGCCCUAUCAGCUUUCGACGGUAGUGUAGUGGACUACCGUGGCGUUAACGGGUAACGGGGAAUA